CUUGGGGAUGAGACAUGCCUUUAGUCAUGGGUGUGUGUGCAUGUGUUUCAUCCACCAGGUGAAGAAGCGGUGCUGCAGAGGUGAGAGGCAGUGGGUUAACUCAGUGCUGUUCCUUCCUGCUGCUCCCGGGCUGACUCAGCUCACGCCGGCUGCGCGGUCACGGCAGCACCAGCAGCGGGGAUGCAGCGUUGCUGCAAUGCAUGCAGCUGCACACCAUGUAAGCCAGUCGUGUCCAUUCCACAAAGGAAACUGCCCUGCACACGCACGAUGCUCGCUGUGUUUACCUGCGUUUCCUUCACCAUGGCAGAGAUUUUGACGGUGCAGUUUCGCUCUGACUCACCACUGCUGACUGCUGUGGAAACGCAUUGACUCUGCAGUACUACGAAGCAGUUGCAUGAAUG
rnacentral:lncRNA from 1 species